UUCAGCCGAGAUCGAUUCGUAAUAAACAAGAACUAGGGGGCCAUUGUCGCUCCCCCGCCUGGUGGCCAAUAUCACAUUUACAACGAGCACCUAAGAGAGAAGUUCCACCUCACUUCAGUUGGCAUCAAAGGGUACCUAAAUCUCAUAUUAAUUAUUUAUUUACGUGUUCCACUGGUGAGCUUGCUGUUUGUUGUCGAUUUCUUCUGCCACAUCUGCUGGAUCAAGUGCACGGAGUGUCGCCCGACUUCUGUCGACGUCGAUCACAGGAAGAUCAGCACUGGCUUCGCUCCUCUCCGUCGCAACAGCAGUAGGUUACAGAGUCCAAACCCCCGGUAGAGGUUAUUGGCUCCGCACUCGGUACCAUUCAAGCCUGCAGGGGUUUCUUUACUGAUGCCUGAAUCACACCUAACGACAAGAGACACAAACUGAUGGAUUGAGUGGCCUGGAAGUCAGGCAGCAUCGCAGACCUGCCUCUAUGGCCCACCCAUAACUCCGUAAACAUCCAAACUGCAACUGUACAGAAAAGUCUUGUAGUCUACCCAGCUUCUUGGCUUAAGCCAUGGCUAGCAAGCGAAAGUCGACCAUUCCUUGCAUGAUCCCGGUGAAGACCAUUCAUUUGAGGA
ensembl:lncRNA